rnacentral:tRNA from 1 species
CUUAAAUAGCUUAAAUUAUUAAAGCUUAAUAUUGAAGAUAUUAAAAUAGGUGAAUACCUUUUAAGUAAA